rfam:Balearica pavonina gibbericeps contig56717, whole genome shotgun sequence.
UGCAAAUGAUGCUAACUUUUUUGCUGUCUAAAUUCACUUGAUGACAACCAUGACAACCACCAAGAUCGCUGAUGCA